rnacentral:lncRNA from 1 species
AUUCAUAACCCAUGGCAGACCAGACUUGGCGGGAGCUCUUUUCCUGGCCUGUGCCCUUUGCAAGUAUUUGACUUCUUCUGGAACAACCUGAAAGGAAUAAGGUGAUCUUGUGGCCAAGUGAAGUUUCCGGGGUUCACAUCCAGAGUUCUCAUCUUCCUGAGUCUACGGCAUUCCAGGAAAUCUUCACUACCGAAGGAGAACUGGGAUCUAGAGGAUGUCUUUGAUGAAAUAGAACCAGAUUCUCCUCUUUUGCCGCUCCCCUUGACCACAGAAGUUCCUGACAAAAUGGGACACUUUUGGUGGGAAUAAGGGUAAGUCAUGAUUAGUUAUUAGAUGCUUGAUUUUUAAAGAUACAACAAAGUCCAGGGGACUUUCAUAACACUGUUCAUUGGAUAAUGUCAGAAUAUACAAAUUCAUGUGCACAUGUUUUGCCUUUGUUUAGAUAUUUUUCAUAUU